rnacentral:rRNA from 1 species
AUACGGAGGGUGCGAGCGUUAAUCGGAAUUACUGGGCGUAAAGGGUGCGUAGGCGGCUUGAUAAGUCGGAUGUGAAAGCCCCGGGCUUAACCUGGGAAUUGCAUUCGAUACUGUCAGGCUAGAGUAUGUCAGAGGUUGGCGGAAUUCCUGGUGUAGCGGUGAAAUGCGUAGAUAUCAGGAGGAACACCAGUGGCGAAGGCGGCUAACUGGGACAAUACUGACGCUGAGGCGUGAAAGCGUGGGGAGCAAACAGGAUUAGAUACCCUAGUAGUCC